UCAAACUUUUUGCCCACUCAACUUUUUUUUCUUUCAAUUCUGUGACUUCUACACUGUGUACUGUGUUCUUGAGUUUUUAGUUGGAAAGAAAGGAAGAGAUUGCAAACCAAAAUCUUAAAAAAAAAAACAAAAAUGUCGACCCAUGUGGAAGAAGAUGAGACCAAAGACGAUAUUGCUCUCCUCCUUCAAACUGAUGGAGGUAACCCUUUACCCGGAAAAAAAAAAGACGUAUGCAGGGAUCCAAUGGUGGAAGGAGUCAGACACCGAUUCAGCUGCAUCUAGCGAGUGGGAUCUUGUUUCUGAUGAAGAAAUGAUGCAAGAGGAGCAACCUCUCCAGAGGCUUGUUCCUGAUAUUUCACUUCCCUCUCUACCAGCACCUCCAGCAUCCAUGUUUGCAUCUUCUGGUAUCACCAGUGUGCUUGCCUCGUGUAUGAAAUCACCUACACGGAAUGGUGACCACCGGGUACCGGCAGGACCGGAGUGGCUCCCUCUGACCUCCAUGCUUACUUGUGCUCUGUCUCGCGAUGAGAAAUUUGGAUUUUUGGACGAAUAUGAGCUUCAAACUCAACCAAACACACCAGAAAAUUUUAGUUUUUCCGCUUUUGAGGAAAUAUUGAAAAAUUAUUCUGCUGUCGAAGAUGGAAAUCAUGCUGCUGUGGAAUAUUAGCUUGUACCUUCGUCACGUGCUUCUAAGUGGCGGUCCUAAACACUUGCGCAACCAAUGGUAAUCCCUUUUACCCAAAAAACUACUAUUGGAUUGUCCACAUUGUAACGCGCCUUUGAGCUGUUCUAAAAAGUUGGCCAAGCAUCUUGAAGGCUAUAAGGGGGUGUUUGGUUCAAUCGAAUGGAAAGAGUAAAGACUUCUUGUGUUUGGUUGCAAUGGAGAAUGAGAAUGAGAAAGAGAAUCGAGAAGUAGGAAUCGAUUUCAUUCCCUCAAUUCUCUAUAAAAUGUAGAGAAUGGAUGAGAAUGUAAUCUAUUUUUUUUUUAAUGAUGUUAUAUGUAUUAAAUUUAGUUAUAUUUAAAUGUUUGUUUUUUUAUAUA